rnacentral:lncRNA from 1 species
CCCCAGAUCCUUCUUGGAUAUUCUACACCUCAACUCAAGGAAAAUGCCUAAGUUAAGGGUGGAUAUCGUAGGGGUGCGUAAAGUAAAAUAGGUAUGCAGAAUGGUAAAGUAAGAGAUAAAGUUAGUAGGGCUGGAUGUAGUAGCAAAAUAAAGAGAAAAAUAAAAAAAAAAAAGUUGUGAAAAAAACAAAGAGAAAGAAUAAAAGACCAUACCCAGCCUGGAUAUGUAUAAAAGAAUAAAAAGGAAGAAAUAAGGGUGGA